UGGUAUUUCUCUGAUACCAGAGAAAAUCCCUCACCUUUUAUGAUUUUUUUUAUUGCAUGCAGUGUCCAGAUUUCUGAGAUAAAACAGACUAUGGUGCAUCUAUCAUCAUUAUUACUUAAGAAGUACCACGGAGGUCAUGUUGUUAUCCGUAUGGCACUCGGU